rnacentral:rRNA from 1 species
UACGGGGGGGGCAAGCGUUGUUCGGAAUUACUGGGCGUAAAGGGCUCGUAGGCGGCCAACUAAGUCAGACGUGAAAUCCCUCGGCUUAACCGGGGAACUGCGUCUGAUACUGGAUGGCUUGAGGUUGGGAGAGGGAUGCGGAAUUCCAGGUGUAGCGGUGAAAUGCGUAGAUAUCAGGAGGAACACCAAUAGCGAAGGCAGCUCGCUGGGACGUUACUGACACUGAGGCGCGAAAAGCGUGGGGGAGCGAACAGG